ensembl:processed_transcript 1810010K12Rik RIKEN cDNA 1810010K12 gene
GUGCUUUGGGAGAAUAAUUAAGUUUAAUAGGAAUAGGUCUGGAGGGUUUUCAAUGCCAAGACCACAGGUGCGGGGUGGCAUGAUGAAUGAUUUGCCUGAUUUUUGCCAAGCUCAAGGGCUCUUCUCUUGGACUUUCAAGCAGAUAGAAAAUAUUGUCAUUUCUUUUAAUUCACAGCAUUACUUUCAAACCGAACAAAGGCCGGAGCCGGGGGAGGCGGGGGAACGGCCCGGCUGUAAUGAAGCGCUUCGGAGGCGGAGGUGCAGCCCAAGAGGCUGAGGCGGCAACGGAGCGCGCUGCUGCGUUUGUGCGCAAGUGACACUCCUGUGCCACACACAAAAGGCCUUCUUCUCCCCACCUUCUGCCGCUUUUCAGCCCUCGGGCCCCUGCCAAACCGGCUCAUAGGACGCCCGGGGGCUCCUGGCCCCCUAUCCAGGGCAACUUAGCCUUUGGGACAUCCAUCGCUGCCAAGGCAAACCUCUCCAAACUUUCCCCAAACUCGGACGGCUGGGGAGGGACCCUGGCUGGAGGCGCGCAUGCGCCCCGUCUGCUGCUGCCAGUUCCCAGGGUUCCGGAGAGCCGGGGUGGAGUUGGAGGUGUAGCCCUAGAGGCCUGCCUAACCCCUACUAUACCAAAAGUCGGGGUUCGGGUGCGGUCUGUCCGCCCAGGAGGCAGGAAGCAGCUGCCCGGCACCAGCUCUCCACCAUUUUUCUACCUUUGCGCAUGGAAAUCUCCAAAAAGGGAUCCAAGAAGCGGCGAGUUGAACUGGGGGUCAUCGGCCUGGAAGAAGCCGGGAAUCGGAGCCCAAGACUUCUUCUAAGGAGGCCCCAGGUCCCUGCGCCCCACUGACCUGGCAGGGAGCCUCGGGCAUUCCUGCUGCUUCAGGUCGGAUGGCCAGGAACGCAGGUUGUUGGCGGGCUGGUUUUGCCUGGUGGCCUGAGCGCCCGCAUUAGCGGCCACAGUGGUCGGGGCACAACCUUCUUGCUGGUCCCAUUUUCGGGCUCUUUGGGGUCUACUGUUGCUUCCCAGAGAGGUUUGGCCUCUGAAUGAUCCUCUGAAAUUAAUGUCAGCAGGUUUCCUGGUGUGUCCACAUCUGUUCCAAACAACCUGUUGCGCUGGCACUGCGUUGGAAAGGCACUGGCACUUUACUUGAGGGAAGCAGGUUGUGUUGCUUGUCCGGGCUUCCAGGACAGGAUUUAAGGUUCUCUCUUAACGAGAGGCACUCCUCUCCUCCUCCAGUGAUACCUGGCGUGCUUCAUUCACCCUGUCCUUGUCCCAACAAUUCAAGGCACCUGGGCACCCUUGUACUUUGCCUCCUCUAGGG